rnacentral:rRNA from 1 species
UACGAAGGGGGCUAGCGUUGCUCGGAAUCACUGGGCGUAAAGCGCACGUAGGCGGCUUACUAAGUCAGGGGUGAAAUCCUGGAGCUCAACUCCAGAACUGCCUUUGAUACUGGUGAGCUUGAGUCCGGGAGAGGUGAGUGGAACUGCGAGUGUAGAGGUGAAAUUCGUAGAUAUUCGCAAGAACACCAGUGGCGAAGGCGGCUCACUGGCCCGGUACUGACGCUGAGGUGCGAAAGCGUGGAGAGCAAACAGG